ACGAACGCUGGCGGCGUGCUUAACACAUGCAAGUCGAACGGUGAAGCGCCUUCCUUUUUGGUGGGUGUGGAUGAGUGGCGAGCGGGUGAGUAACACGUGAGUAACCUGCCCCCUUCUUCUGGAUAACCGCAUGAAAGUGUGGCUAAUACGGGAUAUUCUGGGUCUGUCGCAUGAUGGGUCUGGGAAAGAUAUUGUUUCGGUGGGGGAUGGGCUCGCGGCCUAUCAGCUUGUUGGUGGGGUGAUGGCCUACCAAGGCGGUGACGGGUAGCCGGCCUGAGAGGGUGGACGGUCACACUGGGACUGAGACACGGCCCAGACUCCUACGGGAGGCAGCAGUGGGGAAUAUUGCACAAUGGGCGCAAGCCUGAUGCAGCGACGCCGCGUGAGGGAUGGAGGCCUUCGGGUUGUGAACCUCUUUCGCCAGUGAAGCAGGCCUGCCUCGUUUGUGGGUGGGUUGACGGUAGCUGGAUAAGAAGCGCCGGCUAACUACGUG
rnacentral:rRNA from 1 species